rnacentral:rRNA from 1 species
CCUACGGGAGGCAGCAGUGAGGAAUAUUGGUCAAUGGACGAGAGUCUGAACCAGCCACGUAGCGUGAAGGAUGACUGCCCUCUGGGUUGUAAACUUCUUUUAUAUGGGAAUAAAAUGUUCUACGUGUGGGAGUUUGUAUGUACCAUAUGAAUAAGGAUCGGCUAAAUCCGUGCCAGCAGCCGCGGUAAUACGGAGGGUCCGAGCGUUAUCCGGAUGUAAUGGGGUUAAAGGGAGCGGAGGUGGAUUGUGAAGUCAGUUGGGAAAGUUUGCGGCUCAACCGUAAAAUUGCAGUUGCAACUGGGAGUCUUGAGUAGAGGAGAGGUGGGCGGAAUUCGUGGUGUAGCGGUGAAAUGCUUAGAUAUCAAGAAGAACUCCGAUUGCGAAGGCAGCUCACUGGACUGCAACUGACAGUGAGGGUCGAAAGUGUGGGUAUCAAACAGGAUUAGAUACCCCGAGUAGUC